AAUAAUGAAGAUGAACCAGGUAAAAUUUCGUAUAUUAUUCUAUUCAAAAUUAUUUUCAUAUAUGGUACACUCCUACAUAUGCAGCAAAUUUUUCAUGUUCUAAUAUUUUCACAGAUUCAGUCAAUGGCUUGUGGGUAACUAUGAGAGAAUACUACUGCUAUAAAUUCCAUACACGACCAAACAUAUUCAACCCAAUAUUGCACGGCGGACGGCUUUUCCAGCAAUUUGCAGUAGAUACAUAUAUCAGGAUUGAAAGCUCCAGACUGGAUUACAUGUGGCAUCAUCAAAAGGAAAUAAGAGCAGAUCUAUACCAAGGCCUUCUGGACAGCAUUCAAGCUGGAGAAAAAAAGGGAAAUGCAGUCAGAAAACGAAGAGUACUUGCAUCAUCAUUUAUUGGAGGGCCACGAGAUAGACUUCGCCGAUAUCUAGAUGCCAUCGCUUUAGUUAGAAAAUAUGGAAAGCCAGACAUAUUUCUCACAAUGACCUGCAACCCCAAUUGGGAAAACAUAACACGUGAACUACAGUUUGGACAAACACCACAAGAUCGCCCAGAUAUUGCAGUUCGUGUUUUUAGGGCGAAGCUAGAAGAAAUGAAGAAGCAACUAUUUAAGAAGAACAUUCUUGGAAAGGUCCAGGCAUAUACAUAUGUCAUAGAGUUCCAAAAGAGGGGACUACCCCAUGCUCACUUUUUACUGAUCAUGACCGGAAAAUAUAAGUACACAUGUCCAGAACAGUAUGACAGAAUCAUCUCCGCUGAGCUCCCUAACAAGCACAAAUACUCAGAGUUGUACAAAAUGGUAAUCAAACAUAUGAUGCAUGAUCCUUGUGGUGCAUUGAAUAAAUUAUGUCCAUGCACAAAGAAUCUUCCGUCAUGCAAGAACAAUUAUCCAAAGCCAUUUAAUGUAACUACAAUUCAAGGCAAGGACUCCUACCCAAUAUAUAGGAGACGCAAUGACGGUUGGACUGAAACGGUCAUGAAUUGCAAACUAGAUAAUAGGUGGGUGGUUCCUUACAACCCCUAUCUGUUAAGGAUGUUCAACUGCCACAUAAAUGUUGAGAUAUGCUCAAGCAUUAAAGCUGUUAAGUACCUAUUCAAGUACAUCUACAAGGGUCAUGACCGAGCAUCUGUAUCUGUAACUGACAACGUAGACGAAGCCAAAAUCGACGAGAUUCAACAAUACAGAGACGCACGUUGGGUGACACCACCAGAAGCACUAUGGAGAAUAUAUGGCUUCAAACUAAGCAAAAUGCACCCACCGGUCUUCCAACUGCAGCUACAUCUCCCAAAUAUGCACAUGGUUCCAUACCAUGGCAAAGAAAAAAAUAAAGAAUGUUAUCAACCGUGAAGGAACAGAAAUAUCAAUGUUGACAGCAUACUUUCAAGCAAACAACUUACAUGAGAAAGCACGAGGUAUACUAUACAGAGACUUUCCAGAAUAUUAUACUUGGCAAACACAAGGGAAGUUCUGGCAAGAGAGGGAACGAGCCGCUUUGUUCCAGGUUGGCAGGAUCGUCUCAGCACAUCCAGCUGAAGGAGAACGAUAUUAUCUUCGAGUUCUCCUAAACCACGUGACAGGCGCCACCAGCUAUGAAGACCUACGAACAGUCGAUGGACAGCUAAUGCCAACCUUCCGUGAAGCUGCAGAAAAACGGGGGCUCAUUGAGGCAGACAACACAUUGGAUGACUGCAUGACAGAAGCGGAGUUGUUUCGAAUGCCAUCGUCGUUACAAAGGCUAUUCGCAACAAUCCUGUUGUUUUGCGAGCCAAGCAACGUCCGUAGCCUCUGGAACAAACACCUAGAGUCAAUGUCAGAAGACUACAGUAGAAACUGCAAAUGCAAGCACAUGGUUGAACAGAUGGUGCUGAGAAAUAACAGGGACAUGUUGCACUCAAUGGGAAAAGACAUAAAAUCAUUUCCUCUUCCGGAGAUUGACAAACAACAUGAGACGACAGACGACAUACCUAGGGAAAUCAUCGAGGAGACCUCGAUUGAGGUGGACCCCGAGGACGCAUCUUUACAUAAAAACCUAAACAACGAGCAGAGGAAGGCCUACGAUGAAAUUCUACACACAAUUGACCGCCAAAGAGGAGGCAUAUUCUUUGUCGAUGGACCAGGAGGCAUAGGAAAACUUUUCUUUAC
rnacentral:lncRNA from 1 species